rnacentral:lncRNA from 1 species
AAAUUAACAAAAGGACACUUCCCACCGCAGGAAGGGUAACACAGACCCUUCUCCUGCCUGGGGAUGUGCCCUAAAAAUACACAUCUAAGUGUCUGCUGGAAGGGCUGUGUUGCAACGUUCAGUGGAAACUCUCCCGUUUUCAGUUUCAGAGCUGAUCCAGGGUAUAAAAGCUGCUCUUAGGACCUGUCUUAAACCUCUCAACUUCAGUUCGCUCUCCCUGCCAAAGCCUCCUGCAGAAAACAAAAACAUAAGCUCAUCUGCCCAACCUUCAACCGCUCCGAGGGGGGGUCGGAGCGGAGCCGCGGAGCCCGAGGGUCGCUGGCGGGGCCGGUACCGGCAACCGGGGGGCCCGGCCAGAGCCGGACACGGAGCCCACCCCUGAGAAAAGCUCGGAAAGUACUUUUUCUCAUGGUUUUUCUACUGCUUCCUUCCCUCCAAGAAACUCGGGGGGAGCCGGGUGCGUUGCCGAGGCUGCCGCAGGUGCUGGAGCAGCUCACGCUGUCACCGUGUUUUCCAAACCCAUCCGCCCGAGCUGAAAGACUGCUGGUAACGCGUUGCUGGCUGCACAUGAAUCCCAGAAACUGCUUUGCAUAACAAUUUUAUUUUCAUGGAAUAAUCUUCCCUGUUAGCUGUGUUUUCAGACUCUUUGGCAAUCAGUUCUUAAUACCUACGCUGCUUUGCAAACUGGCUUUUUCAAGGCGUUACCGGCUUAGCUACUGUGGACGGGUGCCCUGUGCUCUGCAUAGGCUGUUGAGCUUUAGGGCAAAGUGGACAAGAAAUUGGGGGAAAGCAGCUCACUUCAGGAUCUUAGUAAGUUUAUCACCAAAACAGGAUUCCAGUGUUUCUUAAAAACUUUUCCUUCCCCUUUAAUUGAAAUAAGAUCCAGAUCAUUUUAGUAUUGGAUCUUGCUGUAAAAUGUAUUUACAUUUAUAUUUAAAUUUACGUCUAAUGCCUGGUAACUCUUUGAAGAAUAACCACCAGCCAAGCCUCUGAUGCAUUGCCACUGCAAGAAAAUACUUGUGCCCAAGAAGGUUUUCAAUAUUCAUCAGUAAUGCAUUUAUAAAGAGAGAGCUCCUUGCAACAAUGUAAAUACAGGAGGAAAUAAAUCUAAAUAAAUCCUUUGCA